CUCUUUCUCGAUUCAGUGGAUGGUGGUGCAUGGCCGUUCUUAGUUGGUGGAGUGAUCUGUCUGGUUAAUUCCGAUAACGAACGAGACUCUCCCCUGCUAACUAGUCGGUUGGAUCUUGAUCAGUGGGUUGAGUGCCGAGUAACUCUCGCCGUGCGUGUUGUGCGUUUCGUUCCUCACGGUUCGUUGCGUGCGCAUGUGUGGUGUUGGAUGCCUUGGAUCACACUGCACCCCAAGUCCGCCGCUUUGCUAUAACUCUUCUUAGAGGGAUUCACGGCACUGAAGCCGUAAGAGACUGAGAGCAAUAACAGGUCUGUGAUGCCCUUAGAUGCUCUGGGCCGCACGCGCGCUACAAUGCCGGGCACAGCAGGUGUUUCUCCUGCUCCGACAGGAGCGGGUAACCCUCUGAAAGCCAGUGUUCUUGCAAGUGCUUCCUCCCUCGUGGAGUUGCACAGAGGCGUGCUUGGGCCUGGGACUUGCAAUUCUUUCCCACCAACGAGGAAUGCCUAGUAGCGGCGGGUCACUGAGCCCGCUGUGACUCAGUCCCUGCCCUUUGUACACACCGCCCGUCGCUACUACCGAUUGGGUGUACCAGUGAGAGCCUUGGACUGGCGUCCGUUGUUGCUCGCAAGAGUGACAAGCGGGUCCGACGGAAAGAGGUCCGAA
rnacentral:rRNA from 1 species